rnacentral:rRNA from 1 species
GGGGGGGGAAGGCCUUUGGGUUGUAAACCCCUUUUGUUAGGAGAAAAAAAAAUGACGGUACCUAACGAAUCAGCCUCGGCUAACUCCGUGCCAGCAGCCGCGGUAAUACGGAGGAGGCAAGCGUUAUCCGGAAUUAUUGGGCGUAAAGCGUCCGUAGGUGGCCCGGCAAGUCUGCUGUCAAAGACCACAGCUCAACUGUGGAAAGGCAGUGGAAACUGCAAGGCUAGAGUGCGGUAGGGGUAGAGGGAAUUCCCAGUGUAGCGGUGAAAUGCGUAGAGAUUGGGAAGAACACCGGUGGCGAAAGCGCUCUACUGGGCCGCAACUGACACUGAUGGACGAAAGCUAGGGGAGCGAAUGGGAUUAGAUACCCCAGUAGUCCUAGCUGUAAACGAUGGAAACUAGGUGUAGCACGUAUCGACCCGUGCUGUAUCGGAGCUAACGCGUUAAGUUUCCCGCCUGGGGAGUACGCACGCAAGUGUGAAACUCAAAGGAAUUGACGGGGGCCCGCACAAGCGGUGGAGUAUGUGGUUUAAUUCGAUGCAACGCGAAGAACCUUACCAGGGCUUGACAUGUCCGGAACCUCUGUGAAAGCAGAGGGUGCCUUCGGGAGCCGGAACACAGGUGGUGCAUGGCUGUCGUCAGCUCGUGUCGUGAGAUGUUGGGUUAAGUCCCGCAACGAGCGCAACCCUCGUCCUUAGUUGCCAGCAUUUUGGAUGGGCACUCUAGGGAGACUGCCGGUGACAAACCGGAGGAAGGUGGGGAUGACGUCAAGUCAGCAUGCCCCUUACGUCCUGGGCGACACACGUACUACAAUGCUGUGGACAAAGAGCAGCCAACCCGCGAGGGCGAGCUAAUCUCAUAAACCACGGCUCAGUUCAGAUCGCAGGCUGCAACUCGCCUGCGUGAAGGCGGAAUCGCUAGUAAUCGCCGGUCAGCAUACGGCGGUGAAUCCGUUCCCGGGCCUUGUACACACCGCCCGUCACACCAUGGGAGCUGGCCACGCCCGAAGUCGUUACUCCAACCGUUCGCGGAGGAGGACGCCGAAGG